AUACGUAGGUGGCAAGCGUUGUCCGGAAUUAUUGGGCGUAAAGCGCGCGCAGGUGGUUCCUUAAGUCUGAUGUGAAAGCCCCCGGCUCAACCGGGGAGGGUCAUUGGAAACUGGGGAACUUGAGUGCAGAAGAGGAUAGUGGAAUUCCAAGUGUAGCGGUGAAAUGCGUAGAGAUUUGGAGGAACACCAGUGGCGAAGGCGACUGUCUGGUCUUUAACUGACACUGAGGCGGGAAAGCGUGGGGAGCAAACAGGAUUAGUUACCCUGGUAGUCCACGCCGUAAACGAUGAGUGCUAAGUGUUGGGGGGUUUCCGCCCCUCAGUGCUGCAGCUAACGCAUUAAGCACUCCGCCUGGGGAGUACGGUCGCAAGACUGAAACUCAAAGGAAUUGACGGGG
rnacentral:rRNA from 1 species